rnacentral:lncRNA from 1 species
UGUUGUAACUCUCCACCUGGCUCUCUUGUUCAUUGUCAUGCAGCGACAUGCAGUAGAUGUCAGGGGGAUGAGCAGACGCAUGGAGUCACCAUGAGAGUGACAAAGUCCAAGGGACUCUCAAGAGAAGGAAGGAAGUGGAGGAACCAUUCUUAUUUGGGCAAACCAAGAAGGGCAUCAUGGAGGAAGAGGUAUUUCCGUUGACUGGAGGGCAGAGAAACUCAGAUGAACCCAGGCUGCCACAGGGCAUUCUGUAUUUUCUGCCUAAGUCGUGGAUGUAACAGCAAAGAAAAAUAAAA